AGUAAAAGGCACCACAAUUUUGG
rnacentral:misc_RNA from 1 species